AAGCAGUUGAUGACACACAGGAUGCUAUUCUCAGUCUAAGAAAUUAUAAAAGACUUCCUACUCGUUUUACAGCUUCAGAGUUGCCAGGGUGUCUAACUCCAUCAGGUUCAUUGUUCACAGUGUGUGGCUGAAGCAGUCCAACAUCCGAUGGCAGCACAACCCUUAACCGACUGGAGCAGUGGUCUCUGUGACUGCUUUGAAAACUCAAGUACUUGUUGCUAUGGUUUCUGGUGCUGCCCUUGCCUUGCCUGCACGGUUUCAGGAAGAUUUGGAGAGAACAAUUGUCUCCCAUUGUGUGACAUAUUCAGCCCUGCCAUAUUAGCUGCCUUGGGGAUACCUUUGUGUGCAGCUCCUCCUGCAGGCCUGUCCUUGAGGGCUGCCAUGCGAAAUAAAUAUGGUAUCAAGGGUUCUCUCUGUAAGGACAUCGCAGUUUCCUGUUUCUGCGGGUGGUGCAACUGGUGUCAGAUGCAUCGUGAGUUGAGACAUCGUGA